rnacentral:rRNA from 1 species
CCUACGGGAGGCAGCAGUGAGGAAUAUUGGUCCAUGGACGAGAGUCUGAACCAGCCAAGUAGCGUGAAGGAUGACUGCCCUAUGGGUUGUAAACUUCUUUUAUAUGGGAAUAAAACAGGGUAUGCAUACCCUCUUGUAUGUACCAUAUGAAUAAGGAUCGGCUAACUCCGUGCCAGCAGCCGCGGUAAUACGGAGGAUCCGAGCGUUAUCCGGAUUUAUUGGGUUUAAAGGGAGCGUAGGUGGAUUGUUAAGUCAGUUGUGAAAGUUUGCGGCGCAACCGUAAAAUUGCAGUUGAAAAUGGCAGUCGUGAGUACAGUAGAGGUGGGCGGAAGUCGGGGUGUAGCGGUGAAAUGCUUAGAUAUCACGAAGAACUCCGAUUGCGAAGGCAGCUCACUGGACUGCAACUGACACUGAUGCUCGAAAGUGUGGGUAUCAAACAGGAUUAGAUACCCCAGUAGUC